GGGGUUGUAGCUCAGUGGUUAAGCACUUGCCUUGCAUGUAUGAGGUACUGGGUUCGGUCCUCAGCACCACA
rnacentral:tRNA from 1 species